UACGUAGGUGACAAGCGUUGUCCGGAUUUACUGGGCGUAAAGAGCGCGCAGGCGGUCGUUCAAGUCGAGUGUGAAAGCCCCCGGCUCAACUGGGGAGGGUCAUUCGAUACUGAUCGACUCGAAGGCAGGAGAGGGUAGUGGAAUUCCCGGUGUGGUGGUGAAAUGCGCAGAUAUCAGGAGGAACACCGGUGGCGAAGGCGGGUCUCUGGGCCGUAACUGACGCUGAGGAGCGAAAGCAUGGGGAGCGAACAGG
rnacentral:rRNA from 1 species